rnacentral:rRNA from 1 species
GAUGAACGCUGGCGGCGUGCCUAACACAUGCAAGUCGAGCGAACGGACGAGACGUUUGCGUCUCUGACGAUAGCGGCGGACGGGUGAGUAACACGAGGAUAACCUACCUAUAAGACUGGGAUAAUUUCGGGAAACCGGAGCUAAUACGGGAUAAUAUUCUGAACCGUAUGGUUCAAAAGAGAAUGACGGCCUUGCUGUAACUUAUAGCUGGUUCCGCGCUGCAUUAGCUAGUAGGUAAGGUAACGGCUUUCCAAGGUGACGAGGCGUAUCCGACGGGUGGGACGGGUCGGCCACACGAGAACGUAGACACGGUCCAGACGCCUACGGGAGGCAGCAGUAGGGAAUCUGCCGCAAUGGGCGGAAGCCUGACACAGCAACGCCGCGUGUGUGAUGAAGGUCUUCGGUGCGUAAAGCUCUGUUAUGGGGUAAGAACAUAUGUGUAAGGAGCUGUGCACAUCUUGACGGUACCGAAUCAAGAAGCCACGGCUAACUACGUG